rnacentral:sRNA from 1 species
UGCAUUCGUAUCGAGCGAUGCAACGGUGU